UACGUAGGGACCAAGCGUUGUUCGGAUUUACUGGGCGUAAAGGGCGCGUAGGCGGCAUGACAAGUCACUUGUGAAAUCUCUGGGCUUAACCCAGAACGGCCAAGUGAUACUGUCGCGCUAGAGUGCGGAAGGGGCAAUCGGAAUUCUCGGUGUAGCGGUGAAAUGCGCAGAUAUCAGGAGGAACACCGGUGGCGAAGGCGGGUCUCUGGGCCGAUACUGACGCUGAGGAGCGAAAGCGUGGGGAGCGAACAGG
rnacentral:rRNA from 1 species